rnacentral:rRNA from 1 species
AUGGAAGAUACUACUACCAUGUUGGUUUUCUUAUUAUUGCCCGCCCUCACCAUCCUGUGCACGCUACUCCUCCGUGCAGCUAUCUCGAAGGAGCACGCCACCAGCUGCAGUAGCGAUGCCGUCGACGUUCCUGUGCCGCCACCUUCCCCUUGGCGACUCCCUCUAGUAGGUAACCUACACCAGCUCGCCGGCCGGCGGCUGCUCCCGCACCGCUCCCUGGCCAGCCUCGCCGCCGCUCACGGCCCCGUCAUGCUCCUCCGUCUGGGCCAAGUCCGAGCCGUCGUCGUGUCGUCCGCCGCCGCAGCGCGGGAGGUGAUGCAGACGCAUGACCGCGUCUUCGCCAGCCGCCCGUCGCUCGCCGUCCCAGGGAAGCUCUUCUACGGCUGCACGGACAUCGCCUUCGCUCCCCACGGCCCAUACUGGAUCCACGCCCGCAAGAUGAGCGUGCUCCACCUCCUGAGCCCCGCGAGGGUGCGCGCCUACCGCGCCGUCCGGGAGGAGGAGGUGCAGGCGUUGGUGCAAAUGGUACACGUACAGAGAUUGUCCUGUGGUGGCGGCGUCGUGCGCCUGAGUGAGCUCCUCGCCGGCUUCGCCAAGGACGUGGCCGGGCGGAUCGUGUUCGGGGCGAGCCCGAGCACUGCCGAGGGGUGGGGAGCCAAGGUAGACACGCUGCUGGAGGAGGGCAACGCGUUGCUCGGCACCUUCCACGUCCAGGAUUGCUUCCCGGGGCUUGCCUGGCUCGGCCUCGGCGGACUGGACAACAAGGUGAGGAAGGCCUUCGAGAGGAUCGAUCCGAUUCUUGAGGAGAUACUGGAGGUCGCGGGUAGACAAUUGUUGUCACCGCAGCAGGAUACUCCUACGACUACGAGUGGCAGCACGUUUGUGCAUGUGAUGUUGUCACUCGAUAAUAUCUCGGGCGGGUCAGCAUGGCGCUUCAGCAGGGACAACCUCAAGGCUAUCUUAAUGGAUCUUUUCGGGGCAGGGACAGAAGCAACCAUCGUCGUCCUUGAAUGGGUUAUGGCGGAGCUGGUUCGCAACAAGGGAGCCAUGGAAAGAUUACAACACGAGCUAAGGAAAUCGUUAAUCUCAGACUCCGAUAUGAUUACCGAGCAUGAUUUACAAGGGAUGGUUUACCUCAAAGCGGUGAUAAAAGAGACGAUUCGGCUGCACCCUCCCGGGCCUCUCCUGCUCCCUCACGAGGCCAUGGAGUCCACCAGGAUCCAGCAGUACCACAUCCCGAGGAAGACCAUGGUGAUCAUCAACGCGUGGGCCAUCGGUAGGGACCCACAUACCUGGGAGUCACCCAUGGAGUUCCGGCCAGAGAGGUUCAUCGGUAGUGAGGUCAGCUUUCGGGGUAGGCAUUUCCAGCUCAUACCGUUUGGCUCUGGAAGAAGGAUGUGCCCUGGAAUCAACUUCACCAUGUCCAUUUUGGAGAUUGCGAUAGCGAACCUCGUCGGCCGGUUCAACUGGGCGCUGCGGGAGGGAGAGACAGAGUUAGACAUGGAAGAGACGCCUGGGGUGGCCUCAAGGAAGAGGGUUCCCCUCUGCGUCAUAGCUAGACCGUGGCCAUAG